GACGAACGCUGGCGGCGUGCUUAACACAUGCAAGUCGAACGGAAAGGCCUCUUUCGGGGGGUACUCGAGUGGCGAACGGGUGAGUAACACGUGAGUAACCUGCCCUUGACUUUGGGAUAACUUCAGGAAACUGGGGCUAAUACCGGAUAGGAGCUCCUGCUGCAUGGUGGGGGUUGGAAAGUUUCGGCGGGUGGGGAUGGACUCGCGGCUUAUCAGCUUGUUGGUGGGGUAGUGGCUUACCAAGGCUUUGACGGGUAGCCGGCCUGGGGGGGUGACCGGCCACAUUGGGACUGAGAUACGGCCCAGACUCCUACGGGAGGCAGCAGUGGGGAAUAUUGCACAAUGGGUGGAAGCCUGAUGCAGCAACGCCGUGUGCGGGAUGACGGCCUUCGGGUUGUAAACCGCUUUCGCUCAUGACGAAGCUUUGUGUGACGGUAGUGGGUAAAGAAGCACCGGCUAACUACGUG
rnacentral:rRNA from 1 species